GACGAACGCUGGCGGCGUGCCUAAUACAUGCAAGUAGAACGCACAGUUUAUACCGUAGCUUGCUACACCAUAGACUGUGAGUUGCGAACGGGUGAGUAACGCGUAGGUAACCUGCCUGGUAGCGGGGGAUAACUAUUGGAAACGAUAGCUAAUACCGCAUAAUAUUAAUUAUUGCAUGAUAAUUAAUUGAAAGGUGCAAUUGCACCACUACCAGAUGGACCUGCGUUGUAUUAGCUAGUAGGUGAGGUAACGGCUCACCUAGGCGACGAUACAUAGCCGACCUGAGAGGGUGAUCGGCCACACUGGGACGGAGACACGGCCCAGACUCCUACGGGAGGCAGCAGUAGGGAAUCUUCGGCAAUGGACGAAAGUCUGACCGAGCAACGCCGCGUGAGUGAAGAAGGUUGUCGGAUCGUAAAGCUCGGUUGUAAGAGAAGAACGGGUGUGAGAGUGGAAAGUUCACACUGUGACGGUAUCUGACCAGAAAGGGACGGCUAACUACGUG
rnacentral:rRNA from 1 species